rnacentral:rRNA from 1 species
AUUGAACGCUGGCGGCAUGCCUUACACAUGCAAGUCGAACGGCAGCACGGGUGCUUGCCCCUGGUGGCGAGUGGCGAACGGGUGAGUAAUACAUCGGAACAUGUCCUGUAGUGGGGGAUAGCCCGGCGAAAGCCGGAUUAAUACCGCAUACGAUCUACGGAUGAAAGCGGGGGACCUUCGGGCCUCGCGCUAUAGGGUCGGCCGAUGGCUGAUUAGCUAGUUGGUGGGGUAAAGGCCUACCAAGGCGACGAUCAGUAGCUGGUCUGAGAGGACGACCAGCCACACUGGGACUGAGACACGGCCCAGACUCCUACGGGAGGCAGCAGUGGGGAAUUUUGGACAAUGGGCGAAAGCCUGAUCCAGCAAUGCCGCGUGUGUGAAGAAGGCCUUCGGGUUGUAAAGCACUUUUGUCCGGAAAGAAAUCCUUGGCCCUAAUACGGUCGGGGGAUGACGGUACCGGAAGAAUAAGCACCGGCUAACUACGUG